GCCGGCAGCAGUCAGAAACGUCUGCUGGAGAAGAUGCUGAAAAGUGUCAGUGAGGGCAUUUGAGAAUUAAUUUUACCCUAGAGUAGCUGUGCAGGUCUGUUUAGCAUUAACCUCUACAGUUUUGAACAUUUAAUAACACUGGAAUCAGUCUGAUGCCUUCAACACUUCACAUGAAGGGCUUUGCAAAAUCUAGCCACAAACAGAUGUGGCCAGAUUUCAAGAAAUUUUGAGAAACUAGGAGGAAUCUAUUCUGACAAAGCCUCACAGAGGAUAGAGGUAAAUUCAUGUUAUUUUUUUCAGGACAGUAGAUUGAAGCCACAUUAAUAAUUAAUACAGUGAUAGAUGGUGUUUACAGUUGCUUCUAUGGUACAAAAGUGUCCCACCAAAAUUCAUAUGUUGAAACUUAAUCAUCCAUGUGACAAUAUUAAGAGCUGGACCGUUUCAGAGCUGAUUAGGUCAUGAGGACAGAGCCCUUGUAAAUAGGAUUAGUGACCUUAAAAAUGAUGUGAGGGAGCUGUUCACCCAUUCUGCUUCUUCCACCAUGUGAGGACAUAGCCUUUCCCAUUUUCAUCACCUGAGGGCAUGACAAGAGGGACCAUCUGUGAAGCAGAGAGCAAGCCUUCACCAGAUACUGCAUCGACUGGUGGUGCCUCAGUCUUGGACUUCCCAGCCUCCAGAACUAGUAGCAAAAAUGUUUAAUUUUACAAUGCCAACUGUGGGCAAGGAUGCGAAGCCACCACCACUCAUACAUUCAGAGAUGGGGUUUCACCAUGUUGGCCAGGCUGGUCUCGAAUUUCUGAUGUCGUGAUUCACCCGCCUCAGCCACCAAACUGCUGGGAUUACAAGCGCAGACAUGUGUGCCCUGGAGGGAAGAAAGUAGAGGACCAGCUAAAAGUGCUUUCCCACUAAAUCACUGUGGGCUCCUCUAAGAAACCGAAACAUGGAAGAAGGAAGGACCAGCCAGCCAGAACAGCAGUGGGUAUCAAGGGAUGGUAUAAAAGCAAGCUGAGGACUGUCGAGAUUCAAGCAGCUAUAUACCUUGCUUCCUUUCCAGACCUGAAAUCUGAGUCAGGAGUCCAUUUCUUCCAUCUGGCCAGAGGAUCUUCAGGAUACUCUCAUGUAAGUCAAUAAUAACUUCUUUUCUUUUAUAAUUUUGUCUUUCUCAAGAUUUAACUCACAGCUCAGUGAAUUUCCAUUCAAAUAUUUUUCCUGUGAUAUGUAGCACUACUCUUCCUUCUCUUCUGAAAG